rnacentral:rRNA from 1 species
AUUGAACGCUGGCGGCAGGCCUAACACAUGCAAGUCGAGCGGAUGAAGGGAGCUUGCUCCUGGAUUCAGCGGCGGACGGGUGAGUAAUGCCUAGGAAUCUGCCUGGUAGUGGGGGAUAACGUCCGGAAACGGGCGCUAAUACCGCAUACGUCCUGAGGGAGAAAGUGGGGGAUCUUCGGACCUCACGCUAUCAGAUGAGCCUAGGUCGGAUUAGCUAGUUGGUGGGGUAAAGGCCUACCAAGGCGACGAUCCGUAACUGGUCUGAGAGGAUGAUCAGUCACACUGGAACUGAGACACGGUCCAGACUCCUACGGGAGGCAGCAGUGGGGAAUAUUGGACAAUGGGCGAAAGCCUGAUCCAGCCAUGCCGCGUGUGUGAAGAAGGUCUUCGGAUUGUAAAGCACUUUAAGUUGGGAAGAAGGACAGUAUGUUAAUACCUUGCUGUUUUGACGUUACCAACAGAAUAAGCACCGGCUAACUUCGUG